GAUGAACGCUGGCGGCGUGCUUAACACAUGCAAGUCGAACGAAGCAAUCAGACGGAAGUUUUCGGAUGGAAGACUGAUUGACUGAGUGGCGGACGGGUGAGUAACGCGUGGGUAACCUGCCUCAUACAGGGGGAUAACAGUUAGAAAUGACUGCUAAUACCGCAUAACAUAUAUUUGUGGCAUCACAGAUAUAUCAAAGGAGAAAUCCGCUUGAAGAUGAGCUCGCGUCCCAUUAGCUAGUUGGCGGGGUAGAGGCCCACCAAGGCGACGAUGGGUAGCCGGACUGAGAGGUUGAACGGCCACAUUGGGACUGAGACACGGCCCAGACUCCUAUGGGAGGCAGCAGUGGGGAAUAUUGCGCAAUGGGGGAAACCCUGACGCAGCAACGCCGCGUGAUUGAAGAAGGCCUUCGGGUUGUAAAGAUCUUUAAUCAGGGACGAAGGAAGUGACGGUACCUGAAGAAUAAGCUCCGGCUAACUACGUGCCAGCCGCCGCAGUAAAAC
rnacentral:rRNA from 1 species